rnacentral:rRNA from 1 species
AACAGGAUUAGAUACCCUGGUAGUCCACGCCGUAAACGAUGUCUACUAGCUGUUCGUGGUCUUGUACUGUGAGUAGCGCAGCUAACGCACUAAGUAGACCGCCUGGGGAGUACGGUCGCAAGAUUAAAACUCAAAUGAAUUGACGGGGGCCCGCACAAGCGGUGGAGCAUGUGGUUUAAUUCGACGCAACGCGAAGAACCUUACCUACUCUUGACAUCUACGGAAGUUUGCAGAGAUGCAGACGUGCCUUCGGGAACCGUAAGACAGGUGCUGCAUGGCUGUCGUCAGCUCGUGUUGUGAAAUGUUGGGUUAAGUCCCGCGACGAGCGCAACCCUUAUCCUUAGUUGCCAGCACGUAAUGGUGGGAACUCUAGGGAGACUGCCGGUGAUAAACCGGAGGAAGGUGGGGACGACGUCAAGUCAUCAUGGCCCUUACGAGUAGGGCUACACACGUGCUACAAUGGUAUGUACAGAGGGAGGCAAGCUGGCGACAGUGAGCGGAUCUCUUAAAGCAUAUCGUAGUCCGGAUCGCAGUCUGCAACUCGACUGCGUGAAGUCGGAAUCGCUAGUAAUCGCAAAUCAGAAUGUUGCGGUGAAUACGUUCCCGGGCCUUGUACACACCGCCCGUCACACCAUGGGAGUGGGUUGCAAAAGAAGUAGGUAGCUUAACCUUCGGGAGGGCGCUUACCACUUUGUGAUUCAUGACUGGGGUGAAGUCGUAACAAGGUAACC